rnacentral:lncRNA from 11 species
GAAAGAACCGUUUGGUCUGCAAGGAGAGGAAGAAAAGGAGAUGUAGGAUGUGGAGAAAAUGUACCAAGGCAUAGACCUUAUCGGGAGAGAUCUCCAUCUUCCUGGGCCUGGAGGGCUGGAUUAUUGUCUUGGGAUGGCACCUGCAGCUGGAGGAGGAGGAGGAGAAAAGAAGCAAAAGCAAAGUCCGUCCUCAGGGGUUUCCACCUGCAAGAUUUCCCCUUUGAACAACGGGAGCAAGAAAAUUCUCAAGGCCCUCGGAUGAUUUGUAAAUACUACUAGAAAUGCACAAAGCCUGGA